rnacentral:rRNA from 1 species
GUAGGGAAUAUUGGGCAAUGGAGGCAACUCUGACCCAGCAACACCGCGUGAAUGAAGAAGGUCUUCGGAUUGUAAAGUUCUGUGAUGGGGGACGAAGAAAGUGACGGUACCCCAAGAGCAAGCCACGGCUAACUACGUGCCAGCAGCCGCGGUAAUACGUAGGUGGCAAGCGUUGUCCGGAAUGACUGGGCGUAAAGGGUGCGUAGGUGGUCUGUCAAGUUAGCCGUGAAAUUCCGGGGCUCAACUCCGGCGCUACGGCUAAGACUGACGGACUUGAGUGCAGGAGGGGCAAGUGGAAUUCCUAGUGUAGCGGUGGAAUGCGUAGAUAUUAGGAGGAACACCAGAGGCGAAGGCGACUUGCUGGACUGUAACUGACACUGAGGCACGAAAGCGUGGGGAGCAAACAGGA